UGUCCCUGUACUAUUUUUAUUCAUGUGGACAUAAAUAAAUGAUUAAAAUGUGUGUGUGUGUGUGUGUAUGUUAGCCAUGGAAAA